rnacentral:rRNA from 3 species
CGGGACACGUGGUAUCCUGUCUGAAUAUGGGGGGACCAUCCUCCAAGGCUAAAUACUCCUGACUGACCGAUAGUGAACCAGUACCGUGAGGGAAAGGCGAAAAGAACCCCGGCGAGGGGAGUGAAAAAGAACCUGAAACCGUGUACGUACAAGCAGUGGGAGCACGCUUAGGCGUGUGACUGCGUACCUUUUGUAUAAUGGGUCAGCGACUUAUAUUCUGUAGCAAGGUUAACCGAAUAGGGGAGCCGAAGGGAAACCGAGUCUUAACUGGGCGUUAAGUUGCAGGGUAUAGACCCGAAACCCGGUGAUCUAGCCAUGGGCAGGUUGAAGGUUGGGUAACACUAACUGGAGGACCGAACCGACUAAUGUUGAAAAAUUAGCGGAUGACUUGUGGCUGGGGGUGAAAGGCCAAUCAAACCGGGAGAUAGCUGGUUCUCCCCGAAAGCUAUUUAGGUAGCGCCUCGUGAAUUCAUCUCCGGGGGUAGAGCACUGUUUCGGCAAGGGGGUCAUCCCGACUUACCAACCCGAUGCAAACUGCGAAUACCGGAGAAUGUUAUCACGGGAGACACACGGCGGGUGCUAACGUCCGUCGUGAAGAGGGAAACAACCCAGACCGCCAGCUAAGGUCCCAAAGUCAUGGUUAAGUGGGAAACGAUGUGGGAAGGCCCAGACAGCCAGGAUGUUGGCUUAGAAGCAGCCAUCAUUUAAAGAAAGCGUAAUAGCUCACUGGUCGAGUCGGCCUGCGCGGAAGAUGUAACGGGGCUAAACCAUGCACCGAAGCUGCGGCAGCGACGCUGAUGCGUUGUUGGGUAGGGGAGCGUUCUGUAAGCCUG